rnacentral:lncRNA from 1 species
UCAGAUCUCUUCUCCUACUGCGACAUUGAGAGCACCAAGAAGGUGGUGGUCAACGGGCGGGUGCUGGAGCUGUUCCGGGCCGCGCAGCUGCCGAACGACGUGGUCCUACAGGCAGAAGCUUGAGAAAUAUGACACCUAUCAAAACUUGGUUCUGCGGCCUUCCAACCAAAAACUUAACAACUCGUGUUUUAUGAUGUAACAUACUAAAACUGUUAUAAUGCAGCUUAUUAGAUGAAUGUACUACUGGGCAAAUAUGAUCCCUUAUAAAAUAAUGAAGUGACAAAGAGCAUGGGUUUCAAUCUAAGUUCUGUCACUUGCUGUGUGUCCUUGAGCAAGUAUGGUCAGUUCUCUCAGCUAUAAAACAGUACCUACCUCAUAGGGUUGUUAGGAUGAUUAGGUUAGUUAACACGUUACGAGUUUGGGACAGUACCUGACACAUUGUGUGUGCACAGUUAAUGCUUGUCAUUAUUAUAAUAAUCAUCUUUUUGUCAUUCUCACCCUGUGAUAACCCAUAGCACGGGUGUAGUACAUUAUCCUAACAGUGGAAUGGGUUUCUCUUUAUCAUAUUAUAAGUAAAGAAAUUUCCCUGUCCCAUUUGCUCCUGCUUGACCAGUGGUAACAAAUAUAUACCAGAAAUUAUAUCAUGCUUAACUCUAUUUAACCACGGUUCUACUCACUUGAGAUACUUGAGAGCUCCACUGUAUUCUGUGCACUUAGGAAUAAUUGUGGGCUCCUGCUUCUCCCACUAGAGGAGCAAUAGUGGCAACAUAGUACAGUUGGUAAGAACACACUCUGGAAUCUUCAACUUCAUCACUUACUGUGACCAGGGCGAAUUACUGAGCCUCUCUGUACUUCAGUUUUCUCAUCUGUAAAAUAGGAUAGAAAUCUCUGUCCUUCUGGGCUAAGAUGAUUAAAUGAGCUAUAAAGUGCUUAAAAUGAUGCCUGGCCCACUGUGUUUAAAUGUUUUAUUGUAAACUUUUAUUAUUUUUUAAAAUUUCUGAUUAGGAGUCAUUGUGGUUCUGGAAUAAUCAAGUUUCAAUGUAAGAAAAGAGAGGUUUGAUUAUUAGUAACUGGUUCUUGAAAAAUACUACUCCUUAAUCAAAACAUUAAUAUUUUAUGUGGCAUGUUGUAAGGCAACAGGUUGCAGGUGUUGUCUUUCCAUGUCACCUUACACACUUUAUUGGUUGAAUGGGAUUAUUUAUCUUCAAUGAGUUUUACAAGCAAUUAUGUCUGGGUUUGCUUAAGACAGUCCUGGUUUAUGCCUCUUGUUUAGGCAUAAUUAUAAACAGUGCCUCUUUCACUCUACACAUGUCUCAGUUUGGAUGUAAAUUUUAUGAUCACCCUAAGUAUACGAUAGUGAUCAAAUUAAUUUUAUUGGACUAUCUCCAUACCCUAUCGUAUUUUCUAAAGGCAACUAGUACUAUUUCAAGCUUCAGUUUUAGGUGGUUGUAGUAUUUUUCAAACUACUUUUGCGUAUUUGUGGUUUUUCUCCUUUCUUACCUUUAAUCUUAUUUGUUUUUUUUUUAAAGCCUUU